ACUGAUACUCCACCUGAUGUGGAAGUUGUCGAACCAGAUCAGAACGCCUUCGAAGUCCACUUUCAGGAUGGAUGUGGAGGUUUUUGACCAGGUGAGACUGAACAUGGACUGGGCGCAUGAGAAAAAGGAGAGCCACCUGAGAAGAAUCAAGGGGACCAAGUGCUUCGACAUCUGGGUGAAUUACUUGGCUUGGAAGAAGGAUGAAAGGAAGGCGAGACCCGGGAAAGCUUGGUGCUCUUUCGCUCCUAGCUGGUGUCAACAUCUGUUAAGGGACCAUCCCUUACCAACCCCACUGACAUCAAAAAUUAGACAGGACCUAGAGGUUCUGCCCAACACCCAGACAUGGAUCCACCUGAUGUCCUCCAUUACCAACCACCCUCCAACUUUUCAUUACAUCAGCUACUGUUAUUGUCAAGUUUUCAUUAUCUGCUAAGAAAGAGCAAGACAACUAUCAUACUGGGCACAUAAUGUGAGCUGCACACUCAGAACAAAGAAUGCAGCAGCGCCUGGACUUUGCAGUUUCCCUGUUCAAGUCCACUACCUGUUGAAAACAAGUGACAGGCAGAACCUCCCAUCCACACAAGACCCACCUCCUCUCUAUUCCACACACCAGAAUUCUGUAUUUCAGUCUAUGAUUGCCAUGUGAGUGUACAAAAAAAUCAGAAAGUAAAUUGACACACAUGUACCAAAGAAAUAUCAAUGGUUAUGUAUUUAAAUCUAAAAUAUUGCUAGAUUGGUUUUCACAGCUGUUUCAUAAGGUGUUCGUUAUUGUAAAUUGUAACGUAUCUCUUGAUGUUAUUUGUUAGUUCAACAUUAUUAAUUGUAUCAUAAGAUACUGCUGCCUUGUAGAGGUGGACCUGGUCAUAGAGGCUGUUCAAGUCCAGGGUGGAGUGGUGGGCCAGGAAAACAUUUGGUUUUGAGGCACAGUCACGGGAAAUGCUUGCGUUUACCCGCUGUAUUGUAGCAGGGUGGAAGUAUUUUCGUGGUAGCAGGGUGGAGAUAACCACUUGUGCGUUGGAGAAAGUAGAAGAAGCUUUUUCAAUCACUCCCUUCAGUGCUGUGGCCACCCUUUCCUGCUGUGCUCUCAGGUCGUUUGUGCCUGUGUGUAUUAUUAUGUGGCUAUGUGAACCUAGUUGGACCUCAGACAGAAGGUCUAGGGCGCACUGGGUGUUUGGACACCAGAGUUUAGACACACUGUGUUUGGGAAAAAGGUUUUUUUCUUCUAUAUAUUUCCUAUUUGAGUCCAUAAGGAGAACAAUCUGUGUCUUGUGUUUGUCCUCUGUGGGUGUGGGGGGGGUCGGGGUCUGGUGUGGACUGUUCUGCUGUGGUGUCGAGACUUUUGUCGGGUGCUGAGGUGGGCUGUUCUGCUGUCUUCUCUAUGGGGAUGGCCAGCUCUCUAGUGGGUUGUUCUCUGUCGCACGCCGUCCCCCUCAACCUCUCCUCCAGCAGUCUGAUCCUCUCCUCCAUCCCCCUCACACUCUCCUCCAGCAGUCUGCUUCUCUCCUCUAGUGCUCUGAUCUGCUCCUGCUCCUGCUCUUUCUCCUGUUGAAUUUGUCUCACCACUGUCCAGAGUGCAGAUAUGUCUCUCUCCACCUCCAGCACUCCGGGUCUGGUUAAAGGGGUGUUGUUGUGCUGGACUGUUGUCUGGGUCUGUGCUGACUGGAGUGUAAUCACCUGCUGUUCCAACUCCACCUGCCUUACCUCCAGCUGGGUGAAUUUAUCCUUCAUUUCAAUGAGGGAGAAGUACUCUGUACUGGGAGGUUGACUGUCUGAUGGGGGUUGCUCUUCUGUGGGGUUAUAUGAUGAAGAGGUCUGGUCUGACCCGCUUGGGGUGGGGGUAUCUUUAUCAAGGGAGAGCUUCUCUUGCUGGGCUAAUUCUUUGAUUAGGUGAAAGUCCAGCUGAAACUGUUUGGGGUUGCCCUGUACCAUUACUUUUCCAGACUUAUAUAGAUUUAUAUUAGCUGACUCAGAGUCCUCGUUGUCAAGUAUCCUGAGUUUCCACCCCUCGUUAACCCCCCCUCUCUUAACAGAGGGGUAGUGUGCUAAUAUAGCACUGUGCCAUGCCAGGGGAUGGUUUGUGUGGAAGAUAAGGUUGCUGAUGUUCCCAUUUUUUCUAAUAGUCAGCAAAAAGUGUCUCUUGAUUUUCCAUAAGGAGCUUCAUUUUGUGAUCUUUUCUUGCCUUAUCAUUCUUUACAUACACAGGGUACUGUAUUUUAAUUACCUCUAAACAGCGGGAGGCAGCUUCUAAGGCCUCUCCAUUUGGUUGGGGUAGACUAUUCGACUCUCCUGCCAUUGUUGGGCUAAUGGGCUUUGACACCUCUCACUUGACAUGUAAGUGCUAGUUGAAGCUGUAUCAAACUUGGCAGAAUUAUGUUAGCAUUCAGUCCUUAUAAAGUCAUGUCAUGUAUUUUUCUUCUUGGCUUUUGGAAAUAGAAUAUAGUUUCAGACUAAACAUUACUCACUCAGUUCCAGGUUGGGUGGUGUUUUCGGGUUUCUGUUGUUUUCCAGAGAAUUUGCUGUAUAAUAAUCCUUGGGAGUUGUGAAACCUUUCAGGUGAUUCUGUAAUUCCGUCCAAAAUCAGGUUAUAGGUUUUGAGUUUUGAUUUGAAGUGAGGGUUAUGUUGUAGACUAGAGGGUAACAUCCUGUAUGUGUUCCUGACAAAAAAUCCAAGUUUAUCUAACUCUAAAUCUGUCUUUUUUAAAGAAAAUGCUGAAAAAUGCAGGAGCUCAUCUGAUCGUGACCUCUGCUCUGUGUCUCUCACUCUCUCUCCUUAAUCGAAAUCCACGUAUUCGUCGCCUGGGGAACAGCCUCAAAAUUGUGUCAUUCUGUCUUGCCCAAAAUCUGUUCUUUUUAACUUCUUAUUUAUCUUUCUGCAAUAUUUCUACCAUUGCAUGACAUUAUAUUACUGUUGAUAUAUUUUCAAUGCUAUCAUAAUGUUUGGUGUUUUUACAACUACAGUCGUUUCUAAACUUUCUAUUCCAUUCUUCUCUCUACUAAAACGUAAUCGUCCUUGAAUGGAUGUUCCGUUAUUUGCCAGUAGAUGGCACACAAUUACACACAAUGUAAUUACACAGGACAAUAACAACGACGUUAUUGUGUCUAGUAAGUGACUAACAGACGUCCAUUAAACUCAGCUCACUCUGUUGACCUAUUUUGAAUAUCUUCAGUGAGAUUGCUGUUAGCCUGGUUGCCGUCUCUGUUCAGCUAUUACUUGCCACUCCUGUCAUUGAAUUCCACUCAUUGCCACUCCUGUCAUUUGCCAAUGGAUAUGCAGGAUGGGAACAUUCCAUUUCAUCUAAACAAUGGAUAUAUAGCAAUUAGCAAAAAAAAACAUCUUCAUAAUACACGUCUAAAAGCUAUGAAUAAAAAAUGUGAGAACAGUAAUAUUUUACACACACAUGAACGUACCCAUAAGCAUUGAUUUCUGAUGAAAAAACACAAAUGGGAAAAAUGUGGAAUUCUGGAAUUAAACUCUUCUGAAUAUACAGAAGAGUACAAAACAUUAGGAACACCGGCUCUUUCCAUGACAUAGACUGGCCAGGUGAAUUGAGGUGAAAUCUAUGAUCCCUUAUCGAUGUCACUUGUUAAAUCCACUUCAAUCAAUGUAGAUGAAGGGUAGGAGACAGGUUGAAAAAGGAUUUUGAAGCCUUUAGACAUGGAUUGUGUAUGUGGGCCAUUAAGACGGUGAGUGGGCAAGACAAAAGAUUGAAGUGCUUUUGAACAGGGUAUAGUAGUAGUUGCCAGGCACACCGGUUUGAGUGUGUCAAGAACAGCAAAUCUGCUUGGUUUUUCACACUCAAGAGUUUCCCAUGUGUAUCAAGAAUGGUCUACCACCUAAACAACAUCCAGCCAACUUGGCACAACUGUGGUAAACAUUGGAGUCAACAUGGGCAGUGGUGGAAAAAGUAUCAAAUUGUCAUAGCUUUACUUUUACUCAAGUAUCUCAAUAGAAAAUCACUCAAGUAAAAGAGAAAGUCACCCAGUAAAAUCCUACUUCAGUAAAAGUCAAAGUACUUGGUUUUAAAUAUACUUAAGUAUCAAAAGUACAUGUAAUUGCUCAAAUAUACUUAAUAAGUAUCAAAAUAAAGUAUAAAUCAAUUCAAAUUCCUUAAAUUAUGCAAACCAGACAUCACAAUUUUCAGUUAUUUUUAUUUAUUUACAUAUAGCCAGUGUAACACUCCAACGCUCAGACAUAAUUUACAAACGAAGCAUGUGUGUUUAGUGAGUCCUCCAGAUCAGAGGCAGUAGGGAUGACCAGGGAUGUUCUCUUGAUAAGUGCGUGAAUUGGAUAAUUUUCCUGUCCUGCUAAGCAUUCAAAAUGUAACUUUUGGGGGAUAUGGAAAAUGUGUGGAGUAAAAAG